UACGUAGGGACCAAGCGUUGUUCGGAUUUACUGGGCGUAAAGGGCGCGUAGGCGGCGUGUUAAGUCACUUGUGAAAUCUCUAGCUUAACUUAGAACGGUCAAGUGAUACUGAUGUGCUAGAGUGCAGAAGGGGCAACCGGAAUUCUUGGUGUAGCGGUGAAAUGCGUAGAUAUCAAGAGGAACACCUGAGGUGAAGACGGGUUGCUGGGCUGACACUGACGCUGAGGCGCGAAAGCUAGGGUAGCAAACGGG
rnacentral:rRNA from 1 species